GUGUGGCCGCCGGAGGACGGGUAUUGUUGAUGUCAAUAUUAUAGAACAAGUUUGUUUCUGUCACAUU
rnacentral:tRNA from 1 species